rnacentral:rRNA from 1 species
AACGUAGGAGACAACCGUUAUCCGGAGUUACUGGGCGUAAAGGGCGUGCAGGCGGUCGACUAAGUCUGGCGUGAAAGUUCUCGGCUAAACCGGGAGAGGUCGUUGGAUACUGGUUGACUAGAGGACGGUAGAGGCGUGUGGAAUUCCUGGUGUAGCGGUGAAAUGCGCAGAUAUCAGGAAGAACACCCGUGGCGAAGGCGGCUCUCUGGGACGGUACUGACGCUGAGACGCGAAAGCGUGGGGAGCGAACAGG